UGGGUAAUGGUCUAGUUGGUCUAAGAUGCUUGCUUUGGGAGCAAGAGGUCGCGAGUUCGAAUCUCGCUUACCCAA
rnacentral:tRNA from 1 species